GCAAUUUAUACAGUGAAACUGCGAAUGGCUCAUUAAAUCAGUUAUCGUUUAUUUGAUAGUUCCUUUACUACAUGGUAUAACUGUGGUAAUUCUAGAGCUAAUACAUGCUUAAAAUCUCGACCCUUUGGAAGAGAUGUAUUUAUUAGAUAAAAAAUCAAUGUCUUCGGACUCUUUGAUGAUUCAUAAUAACUUUUCGAAUCGCAUGGCCUUGUGCUGGCGAUGGUUCAUUCAAAUUUCUGCCCUAUCAACUUUCGAUGGUAGGAUAGUGGCCUACCAUGGUUUCAACGGGUAACGGGGAAUAAGGGUUCGAUUCCGGAGAGGGAGCCUGAGAAACGGCUACCACAUCCAAGGAAGGCAGCAGGCGCGCAAAUUACCCAAUCCUAAUUCAGGGAGGUAGUGACAAUAAAUAACGAUACAGGGCCCAUUCGGGUCUUGUAAUUGGAAUGAGUACAAUGUAAAUACCUUAACGAGGAACAAUUGGAGGGCAAGUCUGGUGCCAGCAGCCGCGGUAAUUCCAGCUCCAAUAGCGUAUAUUAAAGUUGUUGCAGUUAAAAAGCUCGUAGUUGAACUUUGGGCCCGGUUGGCCGGUCCGAUUUUUUCGUGUACUGGAUUUCCAACGGGGCCUUUCCUUCUGGCUAACCUUGAGUCCUUGUGGCUCUUGGCGAACCAGGACUUUUACUUUGAAAAAAUUAGAGUGUUCAAAGCAGGCGUAUUGCUCGAAUAUAUUAGCAUGGAAUAAUAGAAUAGGACGUUUGGUUCUAUUUUGUUGGUUUCUAGGACCAUCGUAAUGAUUAAUAGGGACGGUCGGGGGCAUCAGUAUUCAAUUGUCAGAGGUGAAAUUCUUGGAUUUAUUGAAGACUAACUACUGCGAAAGCAUUUGCCAAGGACGUUUUCAUUAAUCAAGAACGAAAGUUAGGGGAUCGAAGAUGAUCAGAUACCGUCGUAGUCUUAACCAUAAACUAUGCCGACUAGGGAUCGGGUGGUGUUUUUUUAAUGACCCACUCGGCACCUUACGAGAAAUCAAAGUCUUU
rnacentral:rRNA from 1 species